GUCCCAAAGCAAGCGAGCAUGAGCAGCCAAACUGGAUCAGGUGUGGGUUUUCAAGGGCUGGACGUGAAGGGAGUUCCCUGAGGUUGCAGAGAAGGAAACAGUGUAAAGAACCAACAGCCUCUGGGGACAGCUGCUGACUUUAACGAUGCUGUGGAGCUGCAGAGAAUGGGAGGUGGCUGCGCGAUAGGGCGGCGCCCUGUAUGGGUAACCCUCACGUCCCCUGGAGGGAGCAGGGUAAGCACGGGUGUUACUUGGGUAGCAGGUUACCUUGCUCCGGGCGCCCGGCACGCUGAGAGCCAGCUCGUGUAACAGCUCCCGGGGAGGUUCCUUAAGGUACCACCACUGAAUCUCCAGCGAGUAUGAGGUGGCUCCGCUGGCCCGGAACGCGCAGGGCAUUUCGAUAUCUUCUCCCUCCCGUACGGUUACAUCUUGGGGGACUUCGGUGAAUGUAGCUGGAGGCGGGAGAGAGAGGCGUGACCAGCUGAAAGGCGGGGGCUUGGGACAACCCGAGGCUGAGGCGGUCGAUCUCCUGCUCUCCAGCCUUGGGCUCCCCCCACUCCUGUCCCCAGCUACUGUGCAGCCCAGGCGCCAGCAAAGUUCAGAGAACAGCUGCAAAGCGGAAGCAGAGAUCCGCCACUUGAUGCAGGCUGCUUCCCUCCGGGUCGUGCAAGGUGCUGGGCAGAUAGGGCCGCAGCAGUGGAGCCUGUCUGGGGCGCGCCAACUUUCGUUCACUGCAGGCCUCCUUUGCUUGGCGGGGGGCCCGCGGAAGGACUACCUAAGAGGACUCAACAACCGCGGCGACCCUCACCUGCUCUCAUGCCCCUACCCACUCCUAGCCUGGGUUGCACGCCGGGAUCGCUGGAGACCGUGAAGCCUGCCGCUUCCUUUCCUCCUCGGCUGUAGCCAAGCUGGCAGACUUCUGUGGCCUCAGCAAAGGAUCCCUUGAGCCCAUCGCGGCCGCGAAGUUCCCGCGCUCACCGUCGGCGACGAAGAGCAGCAGGCCGUGCAGCAGCAGAGGUGGCAGGUAUCCCAGGGCGCCGAGCCGGUUCCGCUGUUCCAUCUCCCGCAGGGUUGCGGCGGCGGCGGGGGCCCGGCGCGGAGAGGCGGCGGCGGCAGCAGCGUGGGCUCGGCUCCGGCUUGAGUUCGGGCUAGGACUCCUCGGAGCCUGCCAUAGCCCUGCACGGCGCCCCCUCCCCUAGCCGCCGCCGGCCGCCAAUCAAUCCGGUUUCUUGAGGGCUAGCCCGGCGCGGGUCAGGCGGGGGGCGCUGCUCUGGAGGCACAGGAGACGAGGUCCGGCCAGGAGGCUCCUUUGGUCCGUACCUCCUUCGGCCCGGUGGUUCACAGGAAAAUUGGGGGUCCGCAGUUCAGUCUUUGCCCGGCGGGCCGGGCAAUAGCCGGGCUGCGCCAGGACCCAUCCUUGGAGAACCGGGUGAGUGCCUGAGAGCUACCAGCUUCUGCUUCCCGGUCUCCUGGCUGGGCUCCCGACUGCCACCUCCUCCGGCUCCCGCCGAGCUCUCCCGCCGCCGCCGCCGCCGCCGCCGCCGCCGCCGCCGCCCCCGCCCCCGCCGGUUUCUUCCCGACUCUCGGCUAGGCGAGUGGGCGCUCAACCGCGGCGCACAGACCUGGCGUCCGACCCAGCGCAGCGCGUGGAGAGCGGAUCCGGCGUGGCCGACCGGCAGCCAGAGAGAGGCGGGGAGGGGGGGAGGGGAGAAGAAGGGAGGGGACGGUCAGUGGAUGGGCGGCGAGCAGCCUCCUCGGCGGCAUUACUCCCGCCCUCCCCUCCUAGUCCGCCCCGCCCCCACCCCAUUGGCCCCCAUCCCUUCGUGGGGUCACUAGGAACGACUACAGUCUUUCUGGAAGCAGCGCAGCCCCACCCCGCCUCUGCUUUGCUUUAGGGGGCCUCCCACCCAAACUCCUGGAUUCUUCCCAGUGUGUCCUUCCUUUGAGACAGCUGCUCCACCCUGCUUUCCGUGUGUCCCUCGACCCUCUCGGCAGCCCCCAGGGCCUCAACUCCUUACCCAGGUUUGGGCCACGAGCCACACCACUCUUUGGCCCAGACCCGGGCCAUGGCGGGUGGAUGGGUGCCAGGAGACUGCGAGAAGGGCGGAGCGCUGUGUCCGGCCAGAAGCAAAGCCAGGUGACAGUGAAGACCAGGAGUCCGCAGUGUGAGAGAGGGAAGUGAGCGCCCAGCGCUGGGCGAGCAGGUGCCUGUGGCGCGGAGCGCACCAGAGAGCCAGCAAGCGGCAGCCUGGCUUAUCCUGAGUUCUUUUUGUGUCUUCAAUGAAGAGCCAGAAAACACCUGAAUGAGUUCUCAGGAGAGCAUCUCCAUGCUACAAAGAGGAUCAUGAAGAUUGGUCAUAUUCUUAAGAAGCUGGCUUUCAGCAAAGCCUACCAAAGGUGAAGAAACUGGAUCAUAUGGAGGAUUGCAAGAGCAGAGGUAGAGACCUCUGUCCUAUGUCUGUGGACUCAAGAAGUUAUGAAGAACUUGGAUGUUUUCUGUUUCUGAGAGCCUCCUAUCACCUUACCACCUGCACAACAGACGGAGGCAGCGAUGGGGCAGAGCAAAUGUAAGACUUCAGAACACUGGAAGUUCAGAGAACAUACUUCAGGACAUUUCUAUAGACCAAGCUGUUAUGAUUUCUGAGCCAGCCCUCAACAAGUACAUAGAUGUGUUUGGGAUGGAUUUGUUUUGUGCCUGUUUUUCCUACUAUGUACUGCGCUGGGGCUGUAGGGCAUAAGAUGAACAGGGCAUGAAGAAAGCCCUCUUGCCUAUAAUCCCCAAGGACCAUCAAGGAACUGGACACUGUAAUCUAUCUCUUAGAAGGCUCUUGUUGUGUGAUCCUAUUCCUAGGAAGUUGAUAUCUACUCUCCCCAGAUAGGAAAAUGAUGACAGAUCAAAGUAAUGAUAGCACCAAAGUCCAACUUGGUGAACCUUAGAGUUUUAUUGGCAUUAGUUAGAGGAACAUAAAUGUCUCUCUGAAAUUGCAAACAAGCCUCAAUGAAAUGUUUUCUUUUUUAAAAGUUGCUGUGGUCAUAGUGUCUCUUCACAGCAAUAGAGCACUGACUAAGACAAUAUGCUUGGUGAGGGAGGGGUUUAGUGAAUCUUCAGGAAUUUCUGAAGCUUUUGAACUACAUUUUUAGCUUAAUGAGCUUCCCUGCAGGAUUAAAGGUCUCACCUCCCCUUACAUCACUCUGCUGCUUCACAUUUCCAUUUACAUCCCGUGUCUUAAGGGGCUUCCCUCUAAUAUAAGAGGUUGUAAUUUUGAAGGAAACUAUUGCAUAAUAGUUCCUUUGCCUAUAGAAAUUUGAGGACUAUCCCCUGGUUUCAGGUCAUAUCUAGAGACAAGCACAGGGAACAAUGGCAAUAAAAUAAAAGAUAAAUAACUGGACUUUGCUAAAAUUAAGAUCUGCUUUGUCAAUGUUCUACUGCUGUGACGAGACAGUAUGACCACAGCAACUCUUAUAAAGG